AUGAACCCACGCGCUUUCAGAGCUUGCUCUGGGGCUGGAAUAAAAUCAACCCUUUCUGAUGUGGCGCGGGGGACAGCUGGCCCGCGUUAUUUGCGCCAGAGUGGGUCGGAACGAUGCCUGUUGCCUGCGAUGGCACUUUGCCACGCGCAGCGCUUCCCUGGCCGCCUCGAAAGCAGUCUGAAGGGACACCGAAGCCCGCUUUCUCUCUGUGAUAAAGCGCAAAACUGGUAUCUACCCUCAGCCACCCUAUCUCCAAAUAAUGUGAGAUUCGAUCUCACCCCUACUUUUCCCUCACACGUCCCGCGUGCGGUUCAGGUCCAGCCUAACGUGGAGAAGCCCGUGUCCGAGUCGUGUAACCAGGUUCCCCACACCCGGACUACGUCUCCGAGCGGCCCGAACCGCGCAGCCCCUUCCUCUCCGGUUCUCGGGACCCCCCGCGGACUCCCCAUCACUUUGGAAAUGACGAAGUCUUCAAACGCACAAAACGUGCCGAUGUCGGCUGGCGCUGCUGCGGUCCGAGCCCAGGUCGGAAGGCUUCGAGGCGCUCUGCACUGGCGUGUGCCCUCAACAAAUCCUGCGGCCGCCUCAUCUGUUGUGGGCUACGAGUUUCCCGUGUGAUCGCGUUCGGUUGGGGAAGCAGAGUCCCAACAUCUCAGCCGGAAAAUGCGCUCCCGGAGCGCUUACAAGCCGCGUCUGUAAUUGCUUAUUAACAGCGAAUAUUCAUGCUUCUCCUUAUCCGCAAUGAGACGUGCCUCCCCCCUUUUCGGUAAUAAAACAAUAAAAUAAGACGGCACCACUCUUGACUCUACUGUCUGCGGAAACGCAAGGGAGAAACAGGCAGCUGGGGCAAAAGGGCUUGAUUCAAUAUCAAACUGAUUAUUUCACUAAUUAUUCUACCUUCUGUGUUGCGCCGCAGAGGAGAGGCGCAGGGAAUCUCAACCGCACUGCUGCUGGGGAACCUUUGUCUCUUGGUGCCAGGCCCAGCUGAAGAUGCUGUGUGGAGGGAAUCCGAGGUUCAGGGAAACUGAGCUGCGGUGGAUUUUGAAUUGUGGGGAGCAAAUGCGAUUGCCUCCUGAAAGCAGGCGUGUGGGCGUGAGGAUGAGGGUGUCUCCAGUGCCCCACCCCACCCGGGCUUCUGAUUCAUAAGCUGGGUCCUCAAGGAUGACGUUGUGCUCUCACCGACCCCGGAACCCCAAAAGCCGAGCGCAAGGUUCUUCUUCACGAACCCUUCCCGAUAAGUAAAAGAGCGGGACCGAACAAAAUGGGGUUCUUGUGUGCUGAAGGCCUGGGAGCCUCCCACCAUCGGGAGGAAAGUGUACCUGAAGCUACAACUCCUGGUGUGGAGAGAAACCUCGCUUGCCCAGAUCCCCACCCUCUGGGACCGGUGCCUCCUGCAAGCUCUCGGCUUGCAGAGCCUUUCUCGUGCCAGCCUCUAAAACCUGCUCCCGCCCCGGCAUCCUCCUCUCCGAGUGCCGAGAUGACUUCUGUGCCAGCAGUGGACCCCGCUAAGGAGACCCCAAACCCUGUUCCCCUAAACUCCAGCAAAAUACGGACACCACGACUGAUUCUCACAGUAGGACAGUCUCAAAAAAAAAAAAAAAAAAAAAAAAAAAAGGCCUAAAGGAAAAGAAAGUCGCAGUCGACAUGAUCCAAUUAGUAAAUGCCUAAUUGAAUUAGUGUCACCUCCGUCAGCCAAUGGGAGAGCCCCCGGGUUGUGGGGCCGCGAAGCCCCUCCCUGGCCGCACAUAUAUAAAGCAGCCAAUGACAGGCUGCAAGUUUCCAAGUGGUCAACUUGACCCGCACUUGGGCAGUCGAGAAGGGCAGAAAGGCUAUAGCAGCGCUGGUGGGUGGAUAGGGCCAGAGAUCUAAAUCUUCUUAUUCCUGGGGGGUGAGCGCGGAGGAGGCCGGGGGUCCAGAGAGGCCAGAAGGACGGGGAAGGAAAAGGAGAGUGCUUUUUCGGUCAACCUCCACCUCCUGCCUUCAAACCCAGGGCGCUUUCCCGGCGGAAAGGGCGCUGUGUUCGGGGCGCGCGGGCGCGCGCCUUAGCGGCCCGCGAGCGGCCAGGUGGGUAGCCCCAGCACCGGAGGAAGGGGAAGUUACCUUCCCCUCGGAAGAGGGCGCUGGCUCCCCCAUCCUGCCUUUAUAUUAAGGCCGCGGGAGGAGAGGAAGCAGCCAGCUG
rnacentral:lncRNA from 1 species